rnacentral:tRNA from 1 species
GGCCCCAAGUUUCGGAAACAUGAGACCUUGAACGUCUUUAAUGGUAGUUCAACUCUUCCUGGA